rnacentral:rRNA from 1 species
UACGAAGGGGGCUAGCGUUGUUCGGAUUUACUGGGCGUAAAGCGCGCGUAGGCGGAUCGGUAAGUCGGGUGUGAAAUCCUGGAGCUCAACUCCAGAACUGCCUUCGAUACUGGCGAUCUCGAGUCCGGAAGAGGUGAGUGGAACUCCUAGUGUAGAGGUGGAAUUCGUAGAUAUUAGGAAGAACACCAGUGGCGAAGGCGGCUCACUGGGCCGGUACUGACGCUGAUGUGCGAAAGCGUGGGGAGCAAACAGG